rnacentral:rRNA from 1 species
UGGGGAAUUUUGGACAAUGGGGGAAACCCUGAUCCAGCCAUCCCGCGUGUGCGAUGAAGGCCUUCGGGUUGUAAAGCACUUUUGGCCGGAAAGAAACGUCAUGGGUUAAUAGCCCGUGAAACUGACGGUACCUUCAUAAUAAGCACCGGCUAACUACGUGCCAGCAGCCGCGGUAAUACGUAUGGUGCAAGCGUUAAUCGGAAUUACUGGGCGUAAAGCGUGCGCAGGCGGUUCGGAAAGAAAGAUGUGAAAUCCCAGAGCUCAACUUUGGAACUGCAUUUUUAACUACCGGGCUAGAGUGUGUCAGAGGGGGGUGGAAUUCCGCGUGUAGCAGUGAAAUGCGUAGAUAUGCGGAGGAACACCGAUGGCGAAGGCGGCCCACUGGGAUAACACUGACGCUCAUGCACGAAAGCGUGGGGAGCAAACAGG